UGGGGAAUAUUGGACAAUGGGCGCAAGCCUGAUCCAGCAAUGCCGCGUGAGUGAUGAAGGCCUUCGGGUUGUAAAGCUCUUUCGCACGCGACGAUGAUGACGGUAGCGUGAGAAGAAGCCCCGGCUAACUUCGUGCCAGCAGCCGCGGUAAUACGAAGGGGGCUAGCGUUGUUCGGAAUUACUGGGCGUAAAGGGCGCGUAGGCGGUGUGUCAGGUCAGGCGUGAAAGCCCCGGGCUCAACCUGGGAACCGCGCUUGAGACUGGCACGCUAGAGUUCGGGAGAGGAUGGUGGAAUUCCCAGUGUAGAGGUGAAAUUCGUAGAUAUUGGGAAGAACACCGAUGGCGAAGGCAGCCAUCUGGACCGACACUGACGCUGAGGCGCGAAAGCGUGGGGAGCAAACAGGAUUAGAUACCCUGGUAGUCCACGCCGUAAACGAUGAGUGGCUAGACGUUGGGGCCCUCGAGGGCUUCGGUGUCGCAGCUAACG
rnacentral:rRNA from 1 species